rnacentral:rRNA from 1 species
GGUGAUCGGCCACAUUGGAACUGAGACACGGUCCAAACUCCUACGGGAGGCAGCAGUGGGGAAUAUUGCACAAUGGGCGAAAGCCUGAUGCAGCAACGGCGGGGGAGUGGUGGAGGCUUGCGGGUCGGAAAACGCUGUCCUCAAGGAAGAUAAUGACGGUACUUGUGGAGGAAGCCGCGGCUAACUACGUGCCAGCAGCCGCGGUAAUACGUAGGGGGCUAGCGUUAUCCG